rnacentral:rRNA from 1 species
AUACGGAGGAUGCGAGCGUUAUCCGGAUUUAUUGGGUUUAAGGGGAGCGUAGGUGGGAUAUUAAGUCAGCUGUGAAAGUUUGGGGCUCAACCUUAAAAUUGCAGUUGAUACUGGUUUCCUUGAGUACGGUACAGGUGGGCGGAAUUCGUGGUGUAGCGGUGAAAUGCUUAGAUAUCACGAAGAACUCCGAUCGCGAAGGCAGCUCACCGGGCCGGAACUGACACUGAUGCUCGAAAGUGCGGGUAUCAAACAGGAUUAGAUACCCUGGUAGUCCGCACAGUAAACGAUGAAUACUCGCUGUUUGCGAUACACUGUAAGCGGCCAAGCGAAAGCGUUAAGUAUUCCACCUGGGGAGUACGCCGGCAACGGUGAAACUCAAAGGAAUUGGCGGGG